GACCUUUUCUAUUGAAAGGGGCGAUAACAUAUUAAACUCACACACACAACACGGAUGCUAAGACUCGAACCCAGAACCUUGCCUGAGGGAGUAAAUUCUUCAAAUCACUAUACUAAUGGGUCCUUUGCAAUUCUAAUUUUAACUUUAUAAGAAUCAAUCCAAACCAAAUUGGAAUGGUUAUUUAAAUUAAUCAAUUAAUUAUAUUUUUAGCCCACUUUUCUCCACCUUUAGCCCAAUGUUCUCUCAAUAAAGCCCAACUUUAUAUUAAAAAAUCCUAAAGCCUAACAAUACUAUGCAUAUAGCCUAGACCCAAUUAAUAACCCUACUUUCUAACUCUUAAUAACUCAUUUUCUUUACUCAAACUCCCAUCUUUCCUUCAUCUCUCUUUUUUUUUUUUUUUUUUUUCUUUUUUCUUCUUCUUCUUUUCUCUCUUCUCUGUGCCGACACACUCUCUCUCUCUCUCUCCUCAAUUUUUUUUUCUAUCCCUCUCUUCUUCUUCCUUUUCUCUCCUCCUCUUUCUUCUUCUUCUUCCUCUUUCUGGUUCCCAUUUUCUCUCUCUUUUUGUAUUUUGUUUUAGUUUUAUUGUUUUCUGCUUCUCUCUUCCCUCUUUUCCCUUUCUCUCUUCCUCUUUCUUCUUGCUCUUUCUGGUUCGGAUUUUUUUUCUCUCUUUCUCUAUUUUUUUAAUGCUUCUCUCUUCCCUCUUGCUAUGGAACUUUCUUCAUAUGCUGGUUAUGAGGAUCCAAGGACUAUCAAGCAUCAGAGUCUAAUGCAAGACUAUGAAAAGCUGCACGAUGAAAAGAGAAGAUAUAACCAGUUUGCUGGUCUUUUGUUAUAAAUCAAAUAAAACAAUUUCCAAUUCUUUUCUUUCCUCUUUGUGGGAUUUUAGUCCAUCAAUUCUUUUGUACAUAUUUCUGUAUAAUAUGUGAGAGAUGUAAUUUUGGGGGGUUUACUUAGGGAAGCCAAUACAGAGUGAUGUGUAAAACUUUUCAUGAUAUGCUGAAAUUUUUUUGUAGGUCUCUUUAGAUACAUUGUUUAUUUGGAUUUUGUUUAUGUGGCUGCUGAGAGAUCAGAGAAUAAAAAGGAUAAAUCAAAUAUUUUGAAAGAAAAAAACUCAGUUGGGCUUGUUAGCCGAUUCAAAUCGGGAAAAUCAAAACCUAACCAGAUAUGAAUCGAUCUGGGUUGGUUCGGUUGAGUAAUUAACUUUUCAUUAGAAUCGGAUAAAAUCUGUCCGAAUGAAUAGUACUGUUCUGGAUAUGAAUUUGACUGAGAAUCAGGCCGAACAAUACCGUGCCCAGCACUAUUGCCACCUACCUUAGACCAACUCUCUCCAACCCGAGGUCUAAAACCCAAAUAGAUUUAGCAAGGAGACUAUAAUGAAGAGUAAAAAUAAGGGAUUAUAAUGAGGGCUUCCUUAAUAGUUGUUCGAUUUAUUAGACUAAACCGCCUCAUUGUUGUAACAUCAACAUAGCCCCUCAUUAUAGAAGCUAGAUGUAGUGUUAGUUUUGUUGCCCUCUUGAGUUUGGUGUUUUGGGUGUCUAAUGAAGUUGUUCUUUGAUUAAAAAAGAAUAAUACAACGUCUCAAAUUGAAAUCCAACGAUCAAAAUAACAAAAUAAAAUAUCUUACCCCAAAUUCUAUAAAUACGCAUCUAUUUAUAAAAUAAUUAACCAAAAAUCCAUUUCUUUCUCAUAUCUUUUUUACAUAAGCGAUAUUUAGGGGAUAACAUUUUUUCGCAUGGGUUUGUGUGGCUUGCCCCUAAUGCUAUUUUAAUCACGUACCCAUAUCCUCCCUUGUUUAGAGCAUAUAUGUGUGCAUGUUGUUUUAGUAGAUCCAAUUUCUUUGGAAUCAUAGUUUUUCAUUAAGAUUUAUACUCUUAACAUUAUA
rnacentral:lncRNA from 1 species